rnacentral:rRNA from 1 species
GAUGAACGCUGGCGGCGUGCCUAAUACAUGCAAGUCGAGCGAACAGACGAGGAGCUUGCUCCUCUGACGUUAGCGGCGGACGGGUGAGUAACACGUGGAUAACCUACCUAUAAGACUGGGAUAACUUCGGGAAACCGGAGCUAAUACCGGAUAAUAUAUUGAACCGCAUGGUUCAAUAGUGAAAGACGGUUUUGCUGUCACUUAUAGAUGGAUCCGCGCCGCAUUAGCUAGUUGGUAAGGUAACGGCUUAGCAAGGCAACGAUGCGUAGCCGACCGGAGAGGGUGAUAGGCCACACUGGAACGGAGACAGGGUCCAGAGGCCUACGGGAGGCAGCAGUAGGGAAUCGUCCGCAAUGGGCGAAAGCCUGACGGAGCGACGCCGCGUGAGUGAUGAAGGUCUUCGGAUCGUAAAACUCUGUUAUUAGGGAAGAACAAAUGUGUAAGUAACUAUGCACGUCUUGACGGUACCUAAUCAGAAAGCCACGGCUAACUACGUG